rnacentral:rRNA from 1 species
GAUGAACGCUGGCGGCGUGCCUAAUACAUGCAAGUCGAGCGAACAGACGAGGAGCUUGCUCCUCUGACGUUAGCGGCGGACGGGUGAGUAACACGUGGAUAACCUACCUAUAAGACUGGGAUAACUUCGGGAAACCGGAGCUAAUACCGGAUAAUAUAUUGAAUCGCAUGGUUCAAUAGUGAAAGUCGGUUUUGCUGUCACUUAUAGAUGGAUCCGCGCCUCAUUAGCUAGUUGGUAAGGUAACGGCUUACCAAGGCAACGAUGCGUAGCCGACCUGAGAGGGUGAUCGGCCACACGGGAACUGAGACGCGGUCCAGACUCCUACGGGAGGCAGCAGUAGGGAAUCUUCCGCAGUGGGCGAAAGCCUGACGGAACAACGCGGCGUGAGUGAUGAAGGUCUUCGGAUCGUAAAGCACUGUUAUUAGGAAAGAACAAAUGUGUAAGUAACUAUGCACGUCUUGACGGUACCUAAUCAGAAAGCCACGGCUAACUACGUG